CUGGAAAGGCACUGGGUUGGCUUCCAUUCAGGCUGAUUCCUCAUUAAACAGACACGCCCCUUGAAAGUUCCGUUUUCCUGGUCACUCAUUAGGAAACCCAGUUCCUGCCCUACCUAGAUGAGGAUACAGGAGAGCCAGGCUCAGUGAUGACUCCGGGAGCAGAAGGAAGUCCUGAGUCACCCUGGCCGGGAGCAGGAAGUGGUUAUCACCAGAACCAGCACUCCCAAAGCC
rnacentral:lncRNA from 1 species